GGGGCGGGGGCACGGGGGGCCUACGGGAGGCAGCAGUGGGGAAUMUUGMSCAAUGGGCGCAAGCCUGAUSCAGCCAUGCCGCGUGARUGAUGAAGGUCUUAGGMUUGUAAARUCUUCACCGGGAAGAUAAUGACGUACCGAGAGAGAACCAUCCC
rnacentral:rRNA from 1 species